GGCCACAUGGUGAGGCAUUAGUACCAGUGAUCCCUCCUGCUGAUGUCACCACGCUGAUAAGGAGGGAGCAUGGCUGGUGAAGCCCUUAUCUGUAGAGGCCAUCUGAAAUGGCACUGCACAGGCUGGGAGACAAGCGGCAAGAAAGCAGAAAGGGACCUGGGGUGUUGAUGACAGCAAGGAUGUUAGGGUCCUUGAAGGCAUCAAGAGGAGGGCAACAAAGCAGCCAAUUCUACAUUCCAAGCCUGGAUCGCCUGUACUUUGCUGCCAUUGCUUGUGGCAGGUGUUACCAACAACCAGAGCAAAAGCAGCCAAGUUCACUGCAGCGUGCCAAAAGUGUGCCACAGCCCGGGCCCACAUCUUUGUCCGCAAGGUGCAGCCAAGCACAGCACUCCAGAAGGACAGGAAUCACCAGUGAGCAGUUCCAGGUCAGCCUUCAUCAACGUUUGGGCCUCCUGAUGGCUUCCAAACUGAAAUACUCUUCUUCUGUGCUUCUACCUGGCCACAAAUUGAGCUGCUGCCAUUGUAACAGAUUCUGGCCUUCCUGCACUAGUAGGUACACCUUGAGAACACCGUGGCACUCCUGUACACAAAGCCAAAUCUGGGCUGCACAAAAUGAGGUUUUUAUUUCGCUUCUUGGAUCAAAAUCUGGUUCCUAGGCCCCAUCUUGCAAGCCAAUUUAAUUGAUUUCACACGCAAACUCCUUCUCAAAAUUAGGACUCUGCAUUUUUUAUCCUGAAUUAUCUCUUUGAGACUCAUUGCUAGCAUUAAAGGAGACAAUUAACGAAACUGAUUCAUCAGAACUGGCAGUGUCCUGCAACCAUCAAUAGAAAUCGAUCUUUAGGGCAGUCAGCCAUUAAAAAAGAGGAGAAUAUAAGUGUUAUUAGCUUAGAUGUGUAACCUGAUUACACAGAAAUCUCAAUGGCACUUACUGUGAAUAUUUAUCUGCUUUCCAUAGCGCUCUGUCAAAUACAAAUGGACAGCAUUGGUUAUAAUGGUGCAAUCCCAUUAUACUAAGAGAUAAACGCCACAAAACAAAAUAGGUUGAGCAACUAACACACUCACUGCCGUAUUGAUUUGUAUGUUCACAGAGCAUGCACAGCCACAGAUCUCAGCAGCCAUUAAAGGUUUACUUCACUCUCUGUGUGUCCUGAUCCUGUGCCUGCUCCUCAGUGAAAUUCUCUGCAAAUGCUCAGUUUAGAAGAGACGAAUGAGCAGCCAUAUCCAGUGCAGAUGAAUUCCCGAGCCAAGGAUGUAAAUUCAUGGCACAAACAAGGAAUGCUUCUUACAGAGCACACAGGGCACUGAUGCUGGCAUGUGAUUGUGCUUAAAUUUUGAAGUAGGUGAGAGGCGGAGAGUUUGUAUUUUUCAGAUUUGAAGACACAGGAGAGAACCUGAGACUGAAGGAACUGGGGCUGUUUAGUCUGGGGAAGAGGAGGCUGAGGGGAGACCUUAUUGCUCUCUUCUUAUAUCUGAAAGGUGCUUACAGCGAGAGCGGGGUUGGUCUCUUCUCACUGGUGACAGGUGACAGGAUGAGGGGAAAUGGCCUCAAGCUGUGCCAGGAUAAGUUUAGGUUGGAUAUCAGGAAACACUUCUUUACAGAAAGGGUGGUUAAGCACUGGAAUAGGCUCCCCAGGGAGGUGGUUGAGUCACCAUCCCUGGAUGUGUUUAAAAACCGUUUGGAUGUGGUGUUCAGGGCCAUGAUUCAGCAGAGGGUUGUUAAUUAAGGUAGUAUGGUUAGGCUGUGGUUGGACUCGAUGAUCUUUAAGGUCUCUUCCAACCUGAGCGAUUCUACGAUUCUGUGAUACUAUGAACCUCGUAUUCAAGCAUAGAAUGAUUGGAGGGGAUGAGCUGGGUGGAAACAUAGAAUCAAAACCACUGCCUCUCCAGAUUUCUCCUGAGGAUUUUAACCUACAUGUUAUUACAGCUGAAAUAUAAACCAGAGGUACCCUUUGGACUGGUUUAUUGCACUUACCUUUAGCAACUCAUGGGCAUAGACACCCUUACCACUAGCAGCAAUAGCUGGCAAUAAAAGGUGUAUGAUGGAUGGAUAGAAAUUGGCAUCUAAAAAGAUUCUUAGUCAAUUUUACAUGCCUGAGGUUCUUAAAAAAGGAGAUCUGCUAAUACAAAGAAAUACAACCCUACUACUGAGUAGGAAUUGCUUUGAGAAGAGAUUUUGCUUGAAUCUGAUGUAAGGCCAUUCACAGUAACAAAGAAUAUGUAUUGCCUAUUAAAAAAUAACAGCCCUUUGGCCUUUGGGAAGUAUUCAUAGAAUCAUAGAAUCUUUUGAAUUAGAAGGGAUUUUUAAAGGCCAUCUAGUCCAACUCCCCCUGCACUGAACAAGGACACCUACAGCUACACCAGGUUGUUCAGAGCCCCACCAGCCUGACCUUCAGUGUCUCCAAGAACAGAGCAUCCACCACCUUUGGAUGUCAGGGGGAAGUUCUUUACACAGAGAGUGGUGAGGUGCUGGAACAGGCUGCCCAGAGAUGCUGUGGGUGCUCCGUCCCUGGAGGUGUUCAAGGCCGGGUUGGAUGGGGCCCUGGGCAACCUGAUCUAAUGCCAGAUCUGGAGGUUGGUGGCCCUUCCAUGGCAGGGACUUGGAACUUGGUGAUCCUUGAGGUCCCUUCCAACCCAAGCCAUUUUAUGAUUCUAUCAUGCACUCUGGGUGACCUGUUCCAGUGCCUCACCACCCUCAUUGUAAAACACUUCUUCCUUAUAUACAGUCUAAAUCUCCCUUCUUUUUUUUUUCCUUUCAUUUGAAACCCUUCCCCCUUGUCCUUUCACCAUGGACCCUGAUAAAGAUUCUGCCUCCUUCCUUCUUAUAGUGCCCUUUAAAUACUGAAAGGUUGCUAUCAAAUCUCCAGAGCUUUCUCUUCUGCAGGCUGAACAACCCCAGCUCUCUCAGCCUGUCCACACAGGGUAGUUGUUCCAUCCCUUGGAUCAUUCUUGUGGCCCUCCUCUGGAUGUGCUCCAACAGGUCUGUGUCUCUCCUGUACUGAGGACUCCCCAUCUGGAUGCAGUACUCCAGGUGAGGCCUCACCAGCACAGAGCAGAGGGGCAGAAUUACCUUCCUCAAUCUGCUGGCCACACUUCUUUGGAUGCAGCCCAGGAUGUAGUGGGUUUUCUGGGCUGUAAAGGCACAUUGUUGGCUCAUGUCCAGCUUGCCACCCACCAGUACCUCCAAGCCCUAUUCAGCAGGGCUGUGCUCCAUCCAUAUAUCCCCUAGCUUGUACUGAUAGUGCAGGUUACCACAACCCAGGUGCAGUACCUUGCGCUUGCAUUUACUGAACUUCAAGAGGUUCGUGGGUGCUACACUGCCUUUUUUCCAGUCACUGGGAACUUCAUCUGACCUCCGUGACUUCUCAAGUAUCAUUGAGGGUGGCUUGGUGACUGUGUCAGCAAAUUACUUCAGGACUCUGGGAUGCAUCUCAUCACGACCCACAGAAUUAUGGAUGUUCUGGCUCCUCAGGCAGUCAUGAACCUGAUCUUCACUUACAGCAGGAGGAGCAAUGCUCCCCCAGCUCCCACCUUCCAAACUGUCUGCUUGAGGGCUAUGUGUAGAGCAGUCACUAGUGAAGACCAGAGCAAAAAAAAAAGGCCUCAGCCUUCCCUGUCCAUUGUCACCAGCCUGUCUGUAUUGCUCACUAGGAGGUGUGCACCCUUCUGGACUUUAUUUUUCUGGUUGACGGACAUGUAGAAGCCUUCUUUGCACCCCUUGCCAUGUCCAGUUCCAGUUGAGCCUUGUCCUCCCUGACUCCAUCCCUACACAGCUCAGCGGUAUCCCUGUACUCCUUCUAUGUUACCUGUCCCUGCUUCUAUUGCCUGUGCACUUUCUUCUUGCUCUCUAGUUUGACCAGCAGGCCCUGUCCAGCCAUGCCAGUCUCCUGCUUUCCUUUCCUGACCUCCUACACCGGAGCAUGGAGAUUUCUUGUGCACUAUGGAAAGGUCUGCCAGCUCUGCUCUGCUCCCUUGUCCUUGAGGACAGAUUCCCAGGGGUUUUUGUUGUCUAACUCCUUGAAGAGCUGGAAGAUGGCUAGCACAUAGUCUCUCCAGCUUAGCUGUGUUAUCCCACACAUUGUCGUGAGCAGGCUCACUAUCACUCAUUUCCCACUUGAAACCUAGCUUAAAGCCCUGUCAGUGAGCCUAGACAACUCCUGGGCUACAGUUCUUUUCCCCCUGUGACUUAGGUGGACCCCAUCAGCAGCCAUCAGGAUGGAGAACUGAUUUACUCCAGGCCAUAAAAUCAUUUGCUUGCAUCAUGGAAGAACAAAUGUGUAGUGAUUUUCAAUUAACACUUUUCCUUCUCUAAUUUUACCAGAAAAACAGCAACAAAAAACAAACUUGUCCCAGAGAUUUUGUAAUUUCUAAUCUGCACUGUUAUUAUUUCCAUAAAAUUACGGAUGGUAUUAGUGCUUUUAAGCGCAACGCUGACAGCCUGCAGCCAAAACCACAUGCCAUUAACCAGGUGGGACAGGGCUGAAACUCUCUCGUGUGUUGUUUUGCUGGGCUCGGUUCUGACAGUAGGUGUCAGCAGCAGCUCACCAAGGAGCCCUCUGGUGCCAGAAGUGCCGCUGAGCAGAGUGUAGGGUACAACCGCAGUCCCACUGCGUCUCCUUUUACCAGACUACUCCGAUAAAGAAAAACAGAGUCUGAGUGCUGAACAUCACAGAUGAUUGCAGACAACUGAGCCAACGAACAAGACACGUUUGCAGUCAACUGAGCCAACGAACAAGACAAGCUGCAAGUGAAGCUUUGGUUUCACACUUGGGUCAUUCACACAACUGGUAGGGUCGUGCACAAGGCACACAUUGAUAUUGUUACUUGUUGCAGAAUAUUGCACGCUGAGAACAUGAGUGCCUGCUCUGAGGUCCAGAACACAGCAGGAAAUCUGCUCAAACAGCAGCAACAAAGCAGGAGUAAAUAGAAAGCAAAUCAAAGGUCUCACUGUGAUCUGACUGCCAUAGACAGAUGCGUAAGGAAGACUCAGGGGCUGUAAUUCUAAGGCGAGGAUUUCAAAUAAAACCAUACUAAGGUCCUUCAUUACCACCAAAUUCAUUUCACACAUUCUGGUAAAUGAGUGCAAUGGGAGAAAGCUGGCUAAAAAGUAGAAAUCUUGGGAGAUGCACUGUUGAUACAGAAGUAAGACAUCCUAUAGGGAAAACUCUAAAUUUGGCCCUGAGCAAAUCCACAUACAUGAAAAGAAGUGACAGCUAUUUUAUCUGGACACUCGUGAGUUCUGGUAUCCUCUCACAUGAUACUUUAUAACCAAGCUAGCAAACAAGGCACAGAUCGGGUACUGCUGUCCUAGCUCGGAAAGCUGCAGUUAUAGCACACUUAUGUAACCACGCAGAGCAGCUGGUCAGCACCAAACUGCAAAAGCCUACAAAAUGAGGUUAUGCAGGCAUCUGCCCUCGGUCUGCUCAUCAGCUACAUGCAAGAUUAUAUUUAUUAAACCUGGGGACAUGCUAAGCUGGAAGGAGUUGCAAGCACUUUGAGGGAGAAAUUUGUAGUUCAUAAUGAAGUUGACAAGCUGUGAAAUAAACAUGUCAAACAUCAGCAGAUACAAUGCUUUAGUCCUACAAUCACAAGAUAAGAGAAUACAUUCAUCGGACCCAUUUUUCAGAAAGAAUCAGGGUAUGCAAUGAAUCAUGCACUGAUCAUGAGUCAGUCGUGUCAUAUCGUUACAGAAAAGCAAAGUCUUUCAAAGAAUUAAUAGAAUUAAUACAAAGAUGAUGCAGGUGAGAUAACAUAACACAGAGGCACUUGCAGCAGGAGCAGUGUGUGUUGGUGCCUCACUGCAAGGAGCAUAUGAACUAAGAGGACAUACUUGAAAAAAAAUGAGAAUUUGAGAAAAAGAGGCUGAGAGCUUAUCUUCUUCUAUGUGGGUCAGCAGAGCUGAGAGUUUCAGCCGGUUUUGUAACAACUUGCAGAUCAAAGAAUAUUUGGAUUGAAGCCAGCUACCCAUCCCAAGAGCGUUAUUCCCCGUUCAGCCCUUAAAGCUCUUCCCUGGCUCUCUGAUGCGUUAAUAUCCAUGAAGGAAAAACAUGAGGAAAGCAUCAAGUCCCAGUCUCACACACAGAGAAGCAACGGGGUAGGAGUGGGUGAAGGAGAUGCACGUGGGCACUCUCAUAUGGGAACACUGCCAAAGCAGCUUCUUGUGAGCCCCUGCCAUCCCCUCUCCUUUUUGCAGGCAUUUUUACUGCAGCUGUCCAAGUAGGAUGGAGAAGCAAAUAGAAGAUAUGUAAGUGUGCCCCAAACCCCGCCUUUUGACAUAAGAGAGUCCAUGGAUGGUUUCCCCAAAUUACCCUUUAGAAACAGAUACUCUCUGAAAAUAAUCUGAAUUAGAGAAUGAUAUUUUUAACAUUGGCUUAACAUUACUUUAGGUUGCCUUUAUCCCUACGCGUAAUAUUGUGCCUCAGUCACUUUGUAGGACUCCAAACAUACCCAAUAGCAGUUGUGUCCCAGCAUGUGUGCAGAAAGAUUUCUGCUAAACUCCCAGUGGUUCCCAGCAACAAAGCCACUACGUCAGAUCUGGGCAGCUACUGGUGUUCGAAACACGUUCUGCCCAGAGCACAUCCAUGCACAACACAGUCAGGACUGUGGGCACCCGCUCUGUUCUUCCUGCUGGGGCUGAAAAAGAGUGUCUAUGUUAAUGGAGAGUGAGUAUUAAGCAACAGCUCUUCUGCUUUAUGCACAUACAAAGAUUUUAUGCAUAUAAACUCUAUUAAUUCCUCCACUUCGAUUCCUUAUAGUCUUCUACACUUGCCAACUCAAAACUCUUAGUCUCUACUUUUAUAGACUUUUGUACACUAAUUCCAAUCUUAAGACAAGAACAUCACCUCCAAUAACUUGUGUUGUGUUUUGAGAUGUAUUUCUGGGAAGACUAUUGCCUCAUCCUUGGUACUUCCUGGUAGGUCAUGGAAAACAUCUGACACAGGGACUUUCUGGUUCCCCAAAACGACAACCACAGAAAACGAACAGGGAGAAGAACAACAGCAAAAGCUCCGCUUUAUACAUAAAUUUGUUUUCUAAGUGAGAUGAUUUCUUAAGCUGAAACUUUGGUAAAUUCACUCAAUUUUAACUUCUUAGAUAUUUUCAUUUUAAUCACUAAUUAAUUAAUUAAUUAAGGAGGUGAUAAGUCAGACGCCCUAAGCAAAUCCAUAAGUCUAAUUUUGCUUCUUAAGAUACUUUUAUAAAUGUGGAGAUUCAAUCUUAAUGGAAUAAGAAAAAAAAAAGCAAAACAUUAUAUUAUUUUAAAGUCUUUUCACUACAAAUUUAAAGAAUAUAAAGUCUUCCAUUACUGUAGCUAAUUCUGCUUGUGGGGGUUGAAAGUUACAUGCUAUAGCCAACGUGUUUCAUGUGCCAAAUAGCUCAAAGCACGGGGAAUUCUGAAUGCAAACAAAGGGUUCUACUUCGUAUGCAAAAAUUAAACAGGCUUGUGGUGUGAAUGGGUGAACUUUACAGUUUGUUCAGUAAUAAAAACUGCAGAGCAGUGGAAACUCUGAUCUAACUAACCCAGAACCUAACAGAGAACACACUCAGAUAUAUCACAGCAGCACAUUAUGCCUCAGCAGCUGCAUAGAGGAGUAUGAUAAAAGAGUAACCAAUCUUCCUCCAACUUUUUGGAAGGAGGAAGAGAAAAUGACUGCUGUCUAGGCUGUACACCCCGUGAAAUGGCCUACAGGUUGCCAUUUCAGGAAGAGGACUGUACCUACUGCACUGAGAGCUGCUAGGUACUCUAGGGCUAGAGCGGCUAGGUACUACACUAGGUGCUUGCACAAACUGAAACGCCACCCUCAAGUCUGGCAGUACCUUCAUCCUCUCAAUUCAUUGGUAUUCACCAUGUCUCAGGGUUAGACUGCUAACGACCGCUAUUUAACAACAGCCAAGACUUGGAAACAUGUCUGUACACUUGGGAGACUGAGCAGCCCACCUCAGUAUUCCUCUGAGGGAGAUUCAAAUUCUGCAAAAUGUGAUCUAGAUUUGCUCAUAACACUGGCAAGACUGAAAAAGAAAGCAUCCAGUGAGAUGGGAAGUACAACCAGGUGGAACCAGCUUAGAGCAGUGGCUAUGAGAAGGGCAACAUCUGCUCUUUUCUACUGCGCUGCUUUGGGCAUUGGCAUGAAAGUCUGGUGGUGGUGCUUUGGGGAGGAGGAUUUUCCUUUGGAAACACAGUGGAGUUAGACAAGGAUCCCCAGGUGAGAUCUGUCAACAAGGUUCUGGGAAUUCAAUAAAGCGUCUAAACGCUCCCUUUUAUGCAAUGUGUGCAUUAAAAUGACCAUGUUUACCUUUCCUAAGAAAAGCAAAUUCAAUACCUUUACCUUGUAAAAUGCCAAACUUAUCAGAAAUAUUAAUAAUCAGCUAGCUCCCUGAAGACAAAUUUUACCAUUCCUUCAACUCUGCCAGCUCUGAAAAAAAAUGGGAAUUUGUGUGCCUGAAGACAGGAACCUCAUUAUGAACACAGAUUUAGUGCAAGCAAAUGUCAUGUCACAGUGAGCUUUUCUUAUGACAUGUAAGCUAGGACUAGAGGGAAUGGCUUCAAGCUGCACCAGGGAAGAUUCAGGCUGGACGUUAGGAAAUACUACUUCUCUGAAAGGGUGGUCAGGCACUGGAAUGGGCUGCCCAGAGAGGUGGUGGAGUCACCGAGCCUGGUGGUGUUCAAAGAGCGUUUGGAUGUUGUGUUGAGGGACAUGGUUUAGUGGGAACCAUUGGUGAAGGGCGAAUGGUUGGACUGGAUGAUCCUGUGGGUCUUUUCCAACCUUAGCGAUUCUAUGAUUCUAUGAUUCUAUGAUUCUAUGAAUUGCUGAUUUAAUUCCUCGAUGUACUCAGCAUAAUCUUGCUUGUGUGUGGUAGAGGGGAAUCAAACCAGCCCCAGUAUGUACUGUCUGGUCUGCUGAACAGAUAGGCCUUUGGUGGAAGUUCACCUCUUGUAACUUGCUUUCUGCUCCCUACUGUAAAACCUUAUUUUCUUUUAUUCCAUUUGUCCUUGGUUUCUGUCUGUUUUUCUCCCAGCUUUUGCUAGAGGGUUCACUGCAGGUCUACACCAGCUAACAACUCCUUUGUCUUUGCAAUGUUUUCUUCUAAAGUUCAGCCUGCACUACUGCACAGCUUCUUGGUGUGGGAGGUGAAGUAGGAUGUAUGGAGGCAGAGUUGCUAUGGGGAAAGAAGAGCAGAGGAAAGAAGGGUGGUGGUAUGCAAAUAGGUGAGGUGACAAAGAAUGAAAGCAGGGAUAGCAAGCAGACAGGAGCAAUGGUGAUCUCACAAGGGAUAUUUUCCCCAUCUCGGUGGUUUGGUACCUCAUAGAUAGGUGGAGAACACAUCACCUCUACAAAUACAAAGGGUCUGUCCUCAGCCCGUGUACCAGACUGCUGAUGUUGUUCUGCAUUAAAGCAGCAUGUCAUCGUCACCUGACUUUUCCUCAUUUUCUCUUUCAG
rnacentral:lncRNA from 1 species